GACGAACGCUGGCGGCGUGCCUAAUACAUGCAAGUCGAACGCAGUGGGGACGGGUGAGUAACACGUGGGUAACCUCCCAUCAGAGGGGAUAACACUUGGAAACAGGUGCUAAACCGAUACUGAUGGAUGGACCCGCGGUGCAUUAGCUAGUUGGUGGGGUAACGGCUCACCAAGGCGACGAUCCGUAGCUGGUUUGAGAGGACGACCAGCCACACUGGGACUGAGACACGGCCCAGACUCCUACGGGAGGCAGCAGUGGGGAAUUUUGGACAAUGGGGGAAACCCUGAUCCAGCCAUCCCGCGUGUGUGAAGAAGGCCUUCGGGUUGUAAAGCACUUUCAGCGGGGAGGCGUUACCCGCAGAAGAAGCACCGGCUAACUCCGUGCCAGCCGCCGCGGUAAUAC
rnacentral:rRNA from 1 species